rnacentral:rRNA from 1 species
GCUUGCUACCUGACCUAGCGGCGGACGGGUGAGUAAUGCUUAGGAAUCUGCCUAUUAGUGGGGGACAACAUUCCGAAAGGAAUGCUAAUACCGCAUACGCCCUACGGGGGAAAGCAGGGGAUCUUCGGACCUUGCGCUAAUAGAUGAGCCUAAGUCAGAUUAGCUAGUUGGUGGGGUAAAGGCCUACCAAGGCGACGAUCUGUAGCGGGUCUGAGAGGAUGAUCCGCCACACUGGGACUGAGACACGGCCCAGACUCCUACGGGAGGCAGCAGUGGGGAAUAUUGGACAAUGGGCGAAAGCCUGAUCCAGCCAUGCCGCGUGUGUGAAGAAGGCCUUUUGGUUGUAAAGCACUUUAAGCGAGGAGGAGGCUACUUGGAUUAAUACUCUAGGAUAGUGGACGUUACUCGCAGAAUAAGCACCGGCUAACUCUGUGCCAGCAGCCGCGGUAAUACAGAGGGUGCGAGCGUUAAUCGGAUUUACUGGGCGUAAAGCGUGCGUAGGCGGCUUUUUAAGUCGGAUGUGAAAUCCCUGAGCUUAACUUAGGAAUUGCAUUCGAUACUGGGAAGCUAGAGUAUGGGAGAGGAUGGUAGAAUUCCAGGUGUAGCGGUGAAAUGCGUAGAGAUCUGGAGGAAUACCGAUGGCGAAGGCAGCCAUCUGGCCUAAUACUGACGCUGAGGUACGAAAGCAUGGGGAGCAAACAGGAUUAGAUACCCUGGUAGUCCAUGCCGUAAACGAUGUCUACUAGCCGUUGGGGCCUUUGAGGCUUUAGUGGCGCAGCUAACGCGAUAAGUAGACCGCCUGGGGAGUACGGUCGCAAGACUAAAACUCAAAUGAAUUGACGGGGGCCCGCACAAGCGGUGGAGCAUGUGGUUUAAUUCGAUGCAACGCGAAGAACCUUACCUGGUCUUGACAUAGUAAGAACUUUCCAGAGAUGGAUUGGUGCCUUCGGGAACUUACAUACAGGUGCUGCAUGGCUGUCGUCAGCUCGUGUCGUGAGAUGUUGGGUUAAGUCCCGCAACGAGCGCAACCCUUUUCCUUAUUUGCCAGCGGGUUAAGCCGGGAACUUUAAGGAUACUGCCAGUGACAAACUGGAGGAAGGCGGGGACGACGUCAAGUCAUCAUGGCCCUUACGACCAGGGCUACACACGUGCUACAAUGGUCGGUACAAAGGGUUGCUACCUAGCGAUAGGAUGCUAAUCUCAAAAAGCCGAUCGUAGUCCGGAUUGGAGUCUGCAACUCGACUCCAUGA